rnacentral:tRNA from 1 species
GCCCGGGUAGCUCAGUCAGUUAAGCGUCUGACUUUGGCUCAGGUCAUGAUCUCACCGUCCGUGAGUUUGAGCCCUGCUUCGGGCU